rnacentral:sRNA from 1 species
ACCCUGUGAACAUACCUAAACGUUGCUUCGGCGGGAACAGACGGCCCCGUGAAACGGGCCGCCCCCGCCAGAGGACCCCUAACUCUGUUUCUAUAAUGUUUCUUCUGAGUAAAACAAGCAAAUAAAUUAAAACUUUCAACAACGGAUCUCUUGGCUCUGGCAUCGAUGAAGAACGCAGCGAAAUGCGAUAAGUAAUGUGAAUUGCAGAAUUCAGUGAAUCAUCGAAUCUUUGAACGCACAUUGCGCCCGCCAGUAUUCUGGCGGGCAUGCCUGUUCGAGCGUCAUUACAAACCUCAGGCCCCCGGGCCUGGCGUUGGGGAUCGGCGGAGCCCCCCGUGGGCACACGCCGUCCCCCAAAUACAGUGGCGGUCCCGCCGCAGCUUCCAUCGCGUAGUAGCUAACACCUCGCGACUGGAGAGCGGCGCGGCCACGCCGUAAAACACCCAACUCUUCUGACAACAGGGAUUGCCCCAGUAACGGCGAGUGAAGCGGCAACAGCUCAAAUUUGAAAUCUGGCUCUCGGGCCCGAGUUGUAAUUUGUAGAGGAUGCUUUUGGUGAGGUGCCUUCCGAGUUCCCUGGAACGGGACGCCAUAGAGGGUGAGAGCCCCGUCUGGUUGGACGCCGAACCUCUGUAAAGCUCCUUCGACGAGUCGAGUAGUUUGGGAAUGCUGCUCUAAAUGGGAGGUAUAUGUCUUCUAAAGCUAAAUACCGGCCAGAGACCGAUAGCGCACAAGUAGAGUGAUCGAAAGAUGAAAAGAACUUUGAAAAGAGAGUUAAACAGUACGUAAAAUUGUUGAAAGGGAAGCGCUUGUGACCAGACUUGGGCUUGGUUGAUCAUCCGGGGUUCUCCCCGGUGCACUCUUCCGGCCCAGGCCAGCAUCAGUUCGCCCUGGGGGACAAAGGCAUCGGGAACGUGGCUCUCUCCGGGGAGUGUU